CGCGACAGGAUUUUUCCGAUGAUGAAUGGUUUUCCAGCAAAGUUUAUGCUGGUUAUUGCAGCACUAGUGUUGCUUCUCAUGGGGGAGUUCCAAGCAACAUGUGCUUUUCUUCGCGCUGAAGCUGAUCAAGGUAUUGUGAAGAGUACUUUGUCGCAUGUUGACUGUACAAGAGAUGGCUUGAGAAAGAUAAA